rnacentral:rRNA from 1 species
UACGUAGGACCCGAGCGUUGUCCGGAUUUACUGGGUGUAAAGGGUGCGCAGGCGGAUCUGUGCGUCGGAGGUUAAAGACCCGGGCUCAACCCGGGAAGUGCCUUCGAUACGGCGGAUCUUGAGUAUGAGAGAGGAGGGUAGAAUUCCUGGUGUAGCGGUGAAAUGCGUAGAUAUCAGGAGGAAUACCAGUGGCGAAGGCGGCCCUCUGGCUCAUUACUGACGCUCAGGCACGAAAGCGUGGGUAGCAAACAGG